UUUCGGAUAAAAGGAGGUAAGUAUUCCACAAGAGCUCUCUUUUACUGUCUUGGCCACCCCCUUGAUGUUUGACUUCGGAAACACACUGUGAGAAUGUGAGGUCUAGGGAAACAGCAGCCAUUUUGGGACCAUGAGUUGAAAAAAAAAAUCCAUGCAGGACACCCUGACCUGUCCUUGGGAUUCGAGACCACUGUUAGCUCAGUCCUGCAGUUACACUUCACCUUCCCGAAUAGGCCUUCAAUUACUGUUUCAGGAGCCACCAUUUCUUACAGAAAAUCAUAGAAAACCAAUAAAUACUUAAUUGAAUGCCCCAGGCUCUGGGCUGGGACAAAGGCACAGAGGAAACAGGCCUGUUCUGGAGGAGUUUGCAGUCUCUGUCAAUCAGGUUUCCUUUGGUUGCAAGUGCCAGAAACCCAGCUUUGCAGUGGUGAGGGCAGGAAAAUGAGGCAGGACAUAAACCUGAGGACCCAGUCUGGUGCUUAAGAAGUAUCAGUGUUCUUCUCAUAGUGAGGACUUCAGUUUAGAAAGCUCUUUCACACGCUUCUCAUCUCUGUUUCCACCUGCACAAAGAUCUUGAAGAUAAGAAGAAUAGAAUUGCACAGGGCACCUGGAUAGCUCAGUCAGUUAAGCGUCCGACUUGGGCUCAGGUCAUGAUCUCACAGUUCAUGGGUUCGAGCCCCGUGUUGGGCUCCGUGCUGACAGCUCGGAGCCUGGAGCCGGCUUCAGAUUCUAUGUCUCCCCCUCUCUCUGCCCCUCCCCUGCUUGUGCUCUCUCCUUCGAAAAAAAUAAAUAAACAUUAAAAAAAUGAAGAAGAAUAAAAUUGUUGUUCUCAAUUUGCAGGGGAGGCAGCAGAGACCCAGAUUUUGAGAUCCUUCCUCAGGGGCACUGAAAGAGGCAGGGUGCUGCCAUGGCCCCAGGUUUCCUGAUUUCUGUUUUUUUGUUUUUUUUUUUUAACCCCUCAUAGAUCACACAAUGUCAAGACUGGUAAAAAUCCUUAGAAAUUAUCUAGCUCAGGGAUGGCAAGUAGGUUUUACUUAUUUUAUGUGCCAGUUCUGGCCUCUGGUGACAAUAGCCUGAAGCACUGGAUUGUGUCCUACUUCCUGGGAAAGGGUGCUGAGAUUGAUUAGUAAUGUCUGCAUGGGCUUUGGUGAGUGAGCGCAUGGGGCACAGACACACACUUGCUGUAAUUCACCUAAUCUAACCUUUCAUUUCAACAACAAAGAAAUGAACCUUAGAGAAGGGAACUGACUUACUCAAGGUUAUACAGUGAACUAGGGGCAGAACUGGGACCAGUGGGUUUUCUCAUUGACAGUCCAGCUGCCAAGACUGCCAAUCAGACUUAAGUAUGUUCUUCCCACCUCAGGAUUUCCACUGUUUACCUCACGGAGGUAACCUAGCCCAUUAGAGGCCAUAGGUUCUAACCCCAGCUGUGGCGCUGUGUAGCAUUAAACAAGUUGACUAAUCUUUUUGUGCUUACAGAUAAAUCUGCUUCCCCUAGAUAGCUUCCUUUAUCUCAAAGAAAAUGCACACUUUGUGCGUUAUCAACUAGACUAAGAAAUGUCAGCCAAGAAGGUCAAAAUGAAAGAAACAUGGUGGCUUAGCAUAGCCUUGACAGGCAGCCGGAGUGGGUAAAUUGGGCUCUCCUUGUCUGUUCCGGGGCCGUAAACUUCAGGGGAAGGACAAAGGGCUAGAUUUGCCCUUUGCAAGAAAUAAAACAAAAGAAGCAAUCCUUUUAUUUCUCGGGUUACAGAACUCUGGCUUGAUUCUAUUACAUGUGACUGGGCAUUCCAAAGAAUCCCAUUUUCCCAUGGGCUUUUGGCCCUUUGCAGGUGGGAUGGGUUGCUCUCUGGUUUUCAAGUAAUCUUAUAAGCCCUGGGCCCGUGGGGUUUGGAGGGAGAGCAGUGACCCAGGCUGACGUGGGGAACUCUGGCUGGCUAUUCCGGUCAACUGUAGGGUCCUUAGCGCGGGGAUGUAUGAGUGGCUUGUAAACUGUGAAGCACCUUCAGAUGAGAACUAGAACUCCUGUGGUCUGAGCAACAACAUAAACUGAGCAUAAUUUUUUUUCACUUUUCAGGGAUGGGCAUGGGGAAAGAGCAAGGAGUCCAUGGAAAUUCUGCUUGUUAGUGAUGGUGAACUGGAGUGGCCUGGAUAUUUGAAUCAGCACCCUGGGUUUUUCAGCAGAUACCGGGGUUUUUCAGGUAUUUCAGAACUACACAGUCCUUCCAUGUUAUCAUCCUGUUGACUUUCCACAGUGAGUGGAAGGGGUCAUUCUCCCUAUUUUAGAGAAGAGGAAUGGAAGUCCAGGGAGGCUGAGUGACUGGGGAGCAGGUCAGGUGGCGAAUCAUCGGAGAGGCUGUGAUGUGAACUUGGCUUUUUGGGUGCUGAACCCAGCAGUAUUUCUUAUCUUGUGGUGGUGACCUUUGCAGGGUGACUGGUUUAUCCGGCGUUCUGGUGGAUCGGAGGUCAAGGCCAGGGGAGAGGCCUGUGUGGUUAGAGCAGCUGGAGAUUUUGAACUUGGGGUGGGCUUCUAUCGGUGGAGGGCGGGGCGGCCAGGAUUCUGGGAGCAAAGGACAUGGCACAGCCAGGAGACUGGUUUGCUAUCAGCUGCUAUUUACUGAGUUGUUUGUUUGGCGGGGGGUGGGGGGGUUGGUCAGCCAACGUGUUAAUUUGUGGGCAAACGCCAUUAUUUUUAGGGUAUGAAACCUGAGUCAGGGAGGCUGAAUACCUUGGCCAAAGUCACACAACAGAGCAAGGGACGGAGUCCCGAUUGCAAAGCUGCCGUGUCAGCUCUGAAGCCUGUGCAUCUGACCACUAGGUAACACCAGAAUUGUGAGCCUGUAAAGGUGCAGUGUUGGGAAAUAAAUUUAUAAAAAUCGGCCGGGGCCGGUUGGGGAGGCUCUGAGAGGCCAGAUUAAGGAACUUGGGGCAUUGUUGUCUUCUGGGCAGCAGGGAGCCACUAGAUGGGAAAGACA
rnacentral:lncRNA from 1 species